UACGUAGGGGGCAAGCGUUGUUCGGAAUUACUGGGCGUAAAGGGCGCGUAGGCGGCAUGGCAAGUCGGGAGUGAAAGGCCUGGGCUCAACCGAGGAACUGCUUUCGAGACUGCCAAGCUAGAGUGCGGAAGGGGCAUCUGGAAUUCCCAGUGUAGCGGUGAAAUGCGUAGAUAUGCGGAGGAACACCAGUGGCGAAGGCGGCCACCUGGACCGUCCCUGACGCUCAAACACGAAAGCUAGGGUAGCGAACGGG
rnacentral:rRNA from 1 species